AAAAGGGUGAGAGUGAAAAAGAAAGAGCCAAAGUGGAAAAGGGGGUGAAAAACAGAGUGAAAAAAAGAAAAAAGAGUUGGAGUGGAAAAGAAAGGACAUUCGGGAGGGGCGGUGCUGCCUAAGGUGCUUCCGCGCCCAGGAGCGAAGGAGCCGCUGGAUCCCCUGGCGGGAGCGCAGCUCCCGGUGGCGGAGAACGGAGCGGUGGCUGUCAGUCCGAGACUCCAACUCCCGGCAGGCCCUGCGGCCGUAAAGCGCGGCGUCUGACGCAACGGCCGACGCGCCGUAGGAGUGGCUGGCGGGCCGAGGCGGCCGCGCGCCGGGGGAGCGGGCUGGGCGCGGGGAGCUCCCGGCGCCUGUGCCGCGCGGGACGGAGCCGCGGCAGCGACGCUGGAGGGGCGAAGCCUCCGUCCGGCCGCCCGCACGGAGCCGAGCGGCGCGGAAGGGGCGUCCGCCCGGCGCCUCGGCCUCGCUCAGCGGUCCCGGUGGCGGGGGCUCGGCUCGGGCGGGGCGCGCUGCCGCCCGCCGAUGGCGGAGCGCCGGGCGGUGCUUUGCUGCCGCGGGCCGGGAGCUGCAGGAGCCGCCCCGGGCGAGCGGCGCCGGGCGCUGCCGCGGUCACUGUGCGGCGGCUGCCCUCGGGCUGGCGGAGGCGCGGGAGCCGCCGAGCUGCAGCGUCUCCCUCGGGCCGCUGCCGCUGCUGCGGGCGGGGGCGGACGAGCGGCUGCGGAGGCGGCUCCGCGGCGGGCUCAGCCUUGCGAGCAGAGAGCGCUCGACAUCGCUGGCAUGACACGGCUGCUGAGUGCCUCAGUGCUCGUGGCUCUUCCUUCCACGCAAACAGAUGGAGCGGCAUCGCUGAGCAGUAAAACACAGCGAUGGCCCGGAGAAUGGCGAGCGCAAGGAGCGCCGGGCUGGAUCCUUCUGAUGGCACAGGGUACUCAGAAAAUAUUUUUCCCUUAGAGUCCCACUGAAACAUUCUCAGUGCAAUCUCCAUUAAGUGCCAGGAGUCUGGAGAAACUGGAGAAGAGCCCAAGAGACAUUUUUCAUCCUGAGAUACAAAAGGAUUUAUUGGUUCUGGAAGGGCAAGAGGGAUUGGUGAAUUUUCAAUUUGGAGUCCUCUAUGCUAAGGAUGGUCAGCUUACAGGUGAUGAAAUGUUCAGUCAUGGGCAGGGAAGGACUCUCGUAUCCCGGUCGUCAGACUCAGCGCUGCCCGAGAAGAUACAGAGACUGUAAAAAUCAUAAGGAGCAACUAGGACUGCAGAGGAAACAAACUGGAGAGAACAAAAGGUCGUGCUCUGAUGCAUUUACAGAAGCCAUGGCAGGAGAGAGUCAGCUGCUGGAGAAGAGGAGACAGUAUUAUCCCUGUGCAGCACAGAACUGUGCUACUGCUGUGUCAUCAGCUGUGUCUGCACUGAAAGUAGCCACCUUCACCUGUAGGCAGCUACUUUGUGCUUUAGGACACUCUGAGGGAUUUAUUCCUUUUGGGAUCCACGAUGAGAAUUCCGGAGAGAGGUAGCAAUAAGGUAUGAGACUGGAAAAAAGCCUGUGUCCUUGGAAUGUUGUUGUUGUCGUCAAAAGUUAAUUUUUCCUUCUUCCUUAGCCAGUAGUCAGCUUUUUGCUUUAUUUUUUGUGAUAUCAGUAUUUGAUUGUUUAAAAAAUGGCUUCAAAAGAACUGCAGUGGCUGGCCACCAGGACCUUGUUCAGAUUUGCCUAUUUGCUUGUAGCUAAAACAUUUCCAUAUUGUUUAUCAUUCUAUUGAAGAAACUGCUGCCCAGUCAACUAAGAACUGAACAUCUCUCUGUCUGGGACAUGGGGAGAGGAUUUAGGUCAUGUCUUUGUUUCCAGAAAAAAGUUCCAGUGUAGUUUCUAACUAGAGGAAAAGGGGGGGUGCAGACUCGGGGCUCUGAUGCCGUUGGGGGCACCCCGAGGUGCCCAGGAGAGGGAGCCCCACUGCGGUGCAGGAGCAGGGAUGUUAUCACGUACUAGAGAGCAAAUUAUAAACAGAAAUAUGAAAAUUAUAAAUAUAGAAAUAUUUUUACAGUCAUUAAAUAAAGCGGGUUUUUUUACUUGUAAAUACGCAGGGUUUUGAUGAUAAAAUUUAUAAAUACAAACAAUAUGAAGGUGGAAAUCUAAGUCUAGAAAUAUAUCAUAAAUACAUACAGAUAUAUAUAGAAUUUAAAAAUAUAAGAAAAAAUUAGUUGUAGCAGUAGAUA